rnacentral:rRNA from 1 species
AACGAACGCUGGCGGCAGGCUUAACACAUGCAAGUCGAACGCACCUUUCGGGGUGAGUGGCAGACGGGUGAGUAACGCGUGGGAAUCUACCCUUCUCUACGGGAUAGCUCCGGGAAACUGGAAUUAAUACCGUAUACGUCCUGAGGGAGAAAGAUUUAUCGGGGAAGGAUGAGCCCGCGUUGGAUUAGCUAGUUGGUGGGGUAAAGGCCUACCAAGGCGACGAUCCAUAGCUGGUCUAAGAGGAUGAUCAGCCACAUUGGGACUGAGACACGGCCCAAACUCCUACGGGAGGCAGCAGUGGGGAAUAUUGGACAAUGGGCGCAAGCCUGAUCCAGCCAUGCCGCGUGAGUGAUGAAGGCCCUAGGGUUGUAAAGCUCUUUCAGUGGGGACGAUAAGGACGGUACCCACAGAAGAAGCCCCGGCUAACUUCGU